AUACGCCCUCGUUAGGUGAGGCUCCUGUGCAGGAGAUACGCUGCUGCCCAAAAACGUCCAAAGACGCCAAUGGGUUGAACAGGAACGGUCGACAUAAGGCCGUUUUUAAUGCAGCUGGCAAUCGUCCUAUGCCGCACAGUGCUAAAGCUCUACGAAUGGAGGUCACA
rnacentral:sRNA from 2 species